rnacentral:rRNA from 1 species
GUUGGCAUUGCAUUGCCAUAGGCGCUUCGCAAAGCGGGGGGUGUGUAAGAGGAUAACAAACGGUGGUGUCACAAAAUCGGAGGCCACGACUGUUUACUAAAAACACAAUUCAGAGCAAUGAUGAAAAUCAUAGUAUUCUGGAUGAAAUUUGCCCGAUGCCAUUAACAUAAAAGAGGUAAUGGGAAACUGUUACUAAUUGAAAGUCUGGUUAAUAGCGGUCUUAACUAUGAGGAUCCUAAGGUAGCAAAAUCAGUUGGCCAUUAAAUGUGGUCUGGUAUCAAUAGUGUAACGAUGGUCUCACUGUCUCUACAACUUGCUCAGUGAAAUNGAAUUAUCCGUGCAGAU